ensembl:lncRNA
UAUAAGUGUGUUAGAACUCAUGCACUAACCAAACUAAUAUAUUUAGGUUUCGACAGUCCGGCUUUAGUUAGAUUAGUUAGUUUGAUCUUUUUCGUCUCCUGAAUUCUGCAUACAAAAUUUCUUUUAAAAUUCCGAACACUAAACUACCGUUGAUUUUUCAGGAUUCACCUCAAGGCUAAUAAACAAGAAUGAAAAUUCAGCGCGGCGUCACAGCGACACUCACAGGACAAACACUAAACUAGACCGCACCUGUAGAGGGCGCUGAAGUGCUGUUUCAGAGGCAGCGCUUACGCAAAGUAAAAACAUAUGCGACUUAACCAACCAACACACACACACACACAGUCUGAUAUUGUUGUGCGAUUAUAGUCUGGAAGAUACGCCCAUCUUGACACACUGAUUCGCCUCAUUAAGGUGAUGAAGGAAGUGUGCGGUGUGUUAGAGGAGGAAAAAAAACACUAACCGUGCAGCUCAGCCACAGCGAGGGAUUGAUGAGAAACAUGUUUACAGAACUUGUCGUUUCUGUACAAUAUAACCCGUGUACACUACGUGAACAGUUAAAAACACUACACCACCCCGUCUCCUGGGAAAUAAGUGAAACGGAAUCGUCUUUUAUUGCGAGGAAGAUCACCACCGCACUGCAGUGAGCUGAGAGAGAACGUGACCGCGCGCAUGCAGGAAAACGGCCAAACCGCUUUGCGCUAUCGCAGUGUACAGGAUGUGUUAGGCUUUAACGUGUUGCCUGGUUUGAGCUUCUGUAAUCUGUGUAGAUGAUACUGCAGGCAGUGUCCCCCCCCCCCCCCCCCCAGCCCCACCCCUCCCUCCCACAUACACACACAAAUAACUUUUCCGCGCCAGUGGGCAGGGCCGACGGUGUGAUGAUUUAAAAGUAGGUGUCGAUAUCUCGCUGCAAGGGGCAGUCGGUAUGCGAAUGUUAUUUGCCCGUGUGACGUCACAAAUCCCGCCACAUCCAAACGAGCCGUUUUUUUUUGCCGCUCGGUUAAAUAAACGCUCUUUUUGAACCGAGGAGGACGCAUCACGCCGUGAAACCCGAGUGACGUCUUAAUGGAACAACCUCCUCGUAUGUCAGGAAAAUCACGCCGCGACUCCUUUAAACUUUCCGUUAUGAACAGUGACACCGCCGGGAAGCCCCGCCCCCUCCCAUCUCGUCCCGUGGUGCUCGCGACCGGUCGCCCUCUCUCUGACGCAGUAAACGAAUAGUUCGAGGUCAUUGAUACGAAGUGAAUUCCAUCACCGUACGUACGUUCGGGUCUAAAAAAAAAAAAAAAACAACAUCGCACAAGGCUGAGUGAGGGUGUCGAAAUAUAGACAGAUAUCGAGUGAAAAUAAUGGAAUGGAUCUCCAGGAUCAGGGCUUCUGUACACACACAAUGAGAGGAGUACCACGAUUUUCAGGCUUUGGAUGCGUGUGUUAAAGUGUGUAUGAUAACGUGACGCGCGUCAUCUCACGACGCAGGCGGCAAAAGUUUUGAGCCUCGACCUCGACGCGUCUCGCAUGCUGGAGUCCUUCGUUUUUAAAAUCACUUGCUCGGGUAAUGUUAACAUUUUCACUGCCUUGUUUACAGUGUGUGUGUGCACACGUGUGUGUGUGAGAGAGAACUUCCUAUUCAACAUAAAACGAAGAUGGAGAACGACGAGCCGGCCCGCGUGCCUCGAGGACGCCGCGAACGAGAAAGCUAGGACACCAAACGGAUUCCCAUCGGCACCGUGUUUUCUUUCCGUCCCCUCGUACCGUUUGUUUUUUUUUGUUUGUUUUUUAAAAAGGGCUCGGUGUGUUUCUGGCUUCGGCAUGAGCCGUGUACAGACGUACAAGCAUGAGUACAUAUGUGCCUUCGCAGCAACACUACAGUUGGUAAAAUAAAGGAGUUAUUUUUCCAUCUAAUCCACCAGAGUGCCAGAAUAAUUUUACACACUUAAAAAAUAAAUAAAAAAUUAUUCCGGUAGUCUUCUUUAGUAUUAUAUUAUUUUUCUAUGUACACAUCUGUUUUUUUAAUUAAUUAUUUGCAUGUUAGGUCUAUAUGAUAGCUUGCUAAUGUAUGUUUUAGUUUGUUUAAAUAAAAUAAAAAAAUCUGGUUUGUCUUGAAAGGAAAAAAAAAAAAAAAACUAACUAGAUUAUCCUGUUAUUCCUGAAUAUCCUGUACACCUGAAUAUUUGUACUUGCUUUCUCCCCGUCUUUUACGUAAAUAAAUGUGGAAAAACCUCGCCCUGGGACCACGUGUGUAAUCAUGAGACGACGAAAUGCACGUGUGCGUAAAGUGUGUGUCGUGUGUUAUAAGAAAAGCGCUGGGUGUUACAAACCCGGAUGCUCGGGUCACACAGAACGAGGUGAUAUCGGAUGAAGAGUAAACUUCUUUCACUUGCAUGUUGCGCUGUUCAUUUCAUACAAGUUUCCUAGAUUACCCACGAUGCCAUUCGACUACCUGCUGAUAGUGGUGCGGGCUUCACGUCAUCUCGACCUAUAGAGAGAGCGAUGCGGCGGCGCUUUAGUCUGGAACCUUCGUCGUCUCGUAGAUCUUCACACUCCCGUUCUACCAGAACACUAACAAAAGGUUCUCUCCAUCUCUCUCCACACGGCAACACCGCGAUGACCUGAAAAACACUACCACAAGAAAUGAUGGAGUUUUCUGGUUAGGUGAAUAGUUCGUGGUGCCAUGACCAAAGACGACUUCCUUCUCAAAUAAAGGAUUUUAAAUCCUCUAAAA